UAGGGAAUAUUGCACAAUGGAGGAAACUCUGAUGCAGCGACGCCGCGUGAGUGAUGAAGGCCUUCGGGUCGUAAAGCUCUGUCGCAGGGGAAUAAGACAGUGAAUGUACCCUGAAAGAAAGGAUCGGCUAACUUCGUGCCAGCAGCCGCGGUAAGACGAGGGAUCCUAGCGUUGUUCGGAAUCAUUGGGCGUAAAGCGGGUGUAGGUGGCUUUGUAAGUCAGAUGUGAAAGCCCAGGGCUUAACCCUGGAAGUGCAUUUGAUACUGCGAAGCUUGAGUGUAGGAGAGGUUACUAGAAUAGUUGGUGUAGUGGUGAAAUACGUAGAUAUCAACUGGAAUACCGGAGGCGAAGGCGGGUAACUGGCCUAACACUGACACUCAGACCCGAAAGCGUGGGGAUCAAACA
rnacentral:rRNA from 1 species